UACCCUGUGAACCCGGGCUUUUG
rnacentral:miRNA from 1 species